GCCCCGAUAGCUCAGCGGUAGAGCGUUUCAACUAUAAAGUUGUAGAAUCGGCAAGUGCCUUGAAAAGGUCGCCAGUUCAACCCUGGCUUGGGGCA
rnacentral:tRNA from 1 species